rnacentral:misc_RNA from 1 species
UCCGGUUUGGCACCGGCAGUCUCCUCAGUACCACGUGCAUGUCAAGCCCGGGUAAGGUUCUUCGCGUUGCAUCGAAUUAAACCACACGCUCCGCUGCCUGUGCGGGCCCCCGUCAAUUCCUUUGAGUUUUAGCCUUGCGGCCGUAGUCCCCAGGCGGGGUGCUUACUGCGUUAGCUGCGGCACCGCGGGGGUCGAUACCCGCGACACCUAGCACCCAUCGUUUACGGCGUGGACUAC